AGUGGGAUUGUUAGGUCAAAUGGUGGUUCUAUUCCUAGUUUUUUGAGAAAUCUCCAUACUGCUUUCCAGAAUGGUUGCACCACUUUGCAGUACCCCAUAAGCAAU
rnacentral:pre_miRNA from 1 species